rnacentral:tRNA from 1 species
GGAGCGGCCCGGGGCUGGUGCCCCAGCGAGUCUUCAAAACUCGUCGGCCGUCGUAACCCGGCGGUGGGUCGGUUCGAUUCCGGCGCCGCUCCG